AGUGAACGCUGGCGGUAGGCCUAACACAUGCAAGUCGAACGGCAGCACAGUAAGAGCUUGCUCUUACGGGUGGCGAGUGGCGGACGGGUGAGGAAUACAUCGGAAUCUACUUUUUCGUGGGGGAUAACGUAGGGAAACUUACGCUAAUACCGCAUACGACCUACGGGUGAAAGCAGGGGAUCUUCGGACCUUGCGCGAUUGAAUGAGCCGAUGUCGGAUUAGCUAGUUGGCGGGGUAAAGGCCCACCAAGGCGACGAUCCGUAGCUGGUCUGAGAGGAUGAUAGGCCACACUGGAACUGAGACACGGACCAGGCUCCUACGGGAGGCAGCAGUGGGGAAUAUUGGACAAUGGGCGCAAGCCUGACCCAGCCAGACCGCGUGGGUGAAGAAGGCCUUCGGGUUGUAAAGCCCUUUUGUUGGGAAAGAAAAGCAGCAGGUUAAUACCCCGCUGUUCUGACGGUACCCAAAGAAUAAGCACCGGCUAACUUCGG
rnacentral:rRNA from 1 species